rnacentral:tRNA from 1 species
AAAUAGGGGGACAUAAACUAUCCCAUAAAAUGAUUUACAAUCAAUCGCUUAUAUCAGCCACCUAAUC